AGGCAGCCUGGGCCUGGGCUGGGUCUUGCGGAGUGUCGGGCAGCCUGCCGCGGUGCGCCCGUGUGUCUGUGCACCCCCUGGUGCUGCCUAGUCGGGCCCGGCCUGUGGUCGCUGUUCUGUCAGAGAUGUGUAGCACAACCUUCCUGUCCAGUCUGGGCCUCUGUGGAGCCUGGACUGUCUGCCUGUGGUGCUUCUUGUUACCCAGCUAACAAAAAGCACUACCUUGCAGGUGUGCAUCUACAAAGCUCAUUCACACAAAUUCACCAAGAAGAGGGGGUUGUGUCAGGAUCAAUAAAUAGUAAACAGCCCUUCCUCUGUCCCCUGCACCAUGAGGUGGAUGCUCUCUUCAUACUAUCCCUGUAGGAUAUUCCUAUAUAGAGCUGAAGGUGUGCUCCCCGAGCCGUCAGCUUGCCAGAGCUCAACUGGAUUUAAACACAGAAAUGCAGAGGCUGAGAAAUGAAAAUGAACCGUCAGCAGCUUUUGAAUCCAAAGUGCUGAACAUUGCCGUGAGCCCAGAAUAAUAAACUGCACUUCAAGACACAGACCCCGCUGAUGAAAUAUAUGUUCCAGAACCGGUUCUGACAACAACACUGGGGAUAAGCUGCGUGAGAUUCUUGAUCCGAUUUAGUAGCAGAACACAUGGCAUUGUUUGGAAAUUACAGAAAUAUUUUAGCGAGGGUGGAGGGGAAGUGAUGUUUAUAUCAGAGUUUGCAGCUUCACUUUGGGAGAAGAGUUUGCUUUACAGAAAAACUGUCUAAGAAGUAUGUACGUAUAGGAAGGGGUUUUUGUCUCAUUCUCCGGUUAUUCCUCACUCACUUAAUGUUGUCCAAUUUUUAGAUCUCUAAGUGUCUGCAGAUUUCCCUGGGGUACGUGUCACUCCAGGUGUUCAUUCAUUUCAAUGUUCUUUCCUGAAAAUUAAAAUUUUUAACUGUGUCUUGGAUUUACUGCUUUGUAAUUUGCCUUUUUUAAAAAGAAACCCCAACAAACUAUGUUAGUACCAUGCAGUGCUUUAACUUCCAUUUCUACAUUGAAAUAGCUAAAAGAUCUGAGGAUGUUUCAUAAAUUCAGAACUGUCUAGGCAGUAAAGAUCAGUGCAUAUAAAAUGUAUGUAACUGUAAACUUAACAUCUAGCCAUAAAAACUAAUGUCUGCAGGCACAGGAGAAGCUGAAUUAUUAACCCUUUUAUUGCAUGCAGGGCUUUUUAAGAGCUUUUGGCAUGGGCAAAUUUUAUAUUCAAUUUGGUAAAUGUGCUGAGGAAAAAGCAUAUUGUAUUCUUCAGGAUAAAAUCUAUUAGAAACUCUGGACCAACUUCUCAGUUAUUUCUCAGAGAAGGCAGCAAGGACAAGCAGGCAGUUUGGUGCUUGGAGUUUGUUCAUGCUCUCACGCUUCUGGGAUACUUUUGCAGAUCUUGGGGCUUUUGUAGAGGUCCAAGAAACCUGCAUCUUCUGAGCCAGUACUGGGACUGGUUGCAUGUCAGAAGAAAACUAAAUGAAAA